GCAUAGAGCAGUUAAUUUAUUUAUUUCACGGAACUCCAACAGCCCACUUGUAAUGAAGUAUCAAAUUCCGGCGGCAGCCAGCAGGAGCACGCGAAAAAACAGCUUAAAAAUGGCAUUGUCAGCUCUUCUCUGCGUUAAUUCCACUUCCUUCCCUCCUCUCCACUUCCCCAAAUCCCCAGUUCGACUUAAGAAAUCCCCAGCUCCUUCUUCCCCUCGUCUUAGCUUUCCCAAAAUCCUGCCUUUGCCUCUGAGGCCGCAAGCAUUCUCCAUUCAGGGACCUCUAUCGGAGGCGAUGAACUUGAUCCAAUCAUCGCCCCCCACAUGGCGAUCUGCUUUCUUUAACAACUUGUUGAUAUUCAUUCUGGGGUCUCCUAUUCUGGCCUCUGGGCUUUCUUUCUCUGGCAUCUGCGCUGCGUUUCUUUUGGGUACUCUCACUUGGCGAGCUUUUGGGCCUUCUGGGUUCCUCCUCGUUGCUUCUUAUUUCGUUAUAGGCACUGCAGCUACAAAGGUGAAAAUGGCGCAAAAGGAAGCGCAGGGAGUGGCUGAGAAGAGGAAAGGAAGAAGGGGGCCUGGCAGUGUGAUUGGUUCCAGUGCAGCUGGUUGUGUUUGCGCUUUGUUGUUGAUAAAUAAAAUCGGGGGAGAGGCAUUUUCUCGGCUUUGGGAACUUGGAUUUGUAGCCAGUUUCUGUACUAAGUUGAGUGAUACUGUCUCAAGUGAGAUAGGGAAGGCAUAUGGGAAAAUUACUUAUCUUGUUACAACAUUUAAGGUAGUCCCAAGGGGAACAGAAGGGGCUGUAAGUGUUGAGGGAACAUUAGCUGGAUUGUUGGCAUCAGUUCUUCUUGCCUCUAUUGGUUGUUUCAUGGGUGAGAUACGUGCUGCAGAAGCUGUUAUAUGCGUGAUAGCUUCCCAGAUUGCUAAUUUUGGUGAGAGCAUAAUAGGUGCUUUGUUCCAAGAGAAGGAAGGGUUUCAAUGGCUUAACAAUGAUGUUGUCAAUGUCCUUAACAUAUCUAUGGGCAGCAUUUUAGCAGUCCUGAUGCGGCAAGUUAUGCUCCAGAACUUGCACUGAUUGUCAGAGAUACAUGGACAUCAUUCCUGAUGUUGAUCCAAGAUUUCAGUUUUCUCCCCGUUCAGUUAACAACCAAAGGGGCUUCUGAGCGUUCAUCCUUCAAGCUGAAGUUAACUACAUAUUGAAGCGCAAGGAGCCUCCACUAAACAAAGAUCUAGGCAUAUUGGACGCAAAGGAGUCAAAACCUGAUAAGCUAUCCAAGCCAAAACCAUUGUUGAUGUCUCAAGGAGGGAGCCAAGCAGCGCUCCUUUGAAGGUCAGCCAUUUAAGUGGAAGAAUGUUAAAGACCUCGGAGAUGCUCUAGCUUAGGCAUAAAUCUUGUCUCUCCAAAACGAAAACACUAGAUCUAAGACGUCUAAGACAAUGGAGAACUUGCAAAAACAACAUGUAGAACUAAAACAACACUCAACACCACAAGAAAAGAAAGAAAUUUCUAAAAUUUCUAAACACAAGAAGAAAGGCAUUUUCUUAUUUAGAAGGGUAGAGAAAGGUCGGACGAAGAUUUGAAUU